AGCGAACGCUGGCGGUAUGCCUAACACAUGCAAGUCGAACGGCAGCACAGUAAGAGCUGGCUCUUACGGGUGGCGAGUGGCGGACGGGUGAGGAAUACAUCGGAAUCUACUUUUUCGUGGGGGAUAACGUAGGGAAACUUAAGCUAAUACCGCAUACGACCUACGGGUGAAAGCAGGGGAUCUUCGGACCUUGCGCGAUUGAAUGAGCUGAUGUCGGAUUAGCUGGUUGGCGGGGUAAAGGCCCAGCAAGGCGACGAUGCGUAGCUGGGCUGCGAGGAUGAUCAGGCACACUAGAACUGAGAGACGGUCCAGACUCCUGAGGGAGGCAGCAGUGGGGAAUAUUGGACAAUUGGCGCAAGUCUGAUCCAGCCAGCCCGCGUGAUUCAAGAAGGCCUUCUGGUUGUUAAGCCCUUUUGUUGGGAAAGAAAAGCAGCAGGUUAAUACCCCGCUGUUCUGACGGUACCCAAAGAAUAAGCACCGGCUAACUUCGUG
rnacentral:rRNA from 1 species